AGUCGACGGCAGCGCGGGGUAACCUGGCGGCGAGUGGCGAACGGGUGAGUAAUACAUCGGAACGUGCCCUGUGAUGGGGGAUAACUACGCGAAAGCGUAGCUAAUACCGCAUACGACCUACGGGUGAAAGUGGGGGAUCGCAAGACCUCACGUCAUAGGAGCGGCCGAUGGCGGAUUAGCUAGUUGGUGAGGUAAAGGCUUACCAAGGCAACGAUCCGUAGCUGGUCUGAGAGGACGACCAGCCACACUGGGACUGAGACACGGCCCAGACUCCUACGGGAGGCAGCAGUGGGGAAUCUUGGACAAUGGGGGCAACCCUGAUCCAGCAAUGCCGCGUGUGGGAUGAAGGCCUUCGGGUUGUAAACCACUUUUGGCGGGGGCGAAAUAUCGAGUGCUAAUACCAUUCGGUGAUGACGGUACCCGCAGAAUAAGCACCGGCUAACUACGUGCCAGCAGCCGCGGUAAUACGUAGGGUGCAAGCGUUAAUCGGAAUUACUGGGCGUAAAGCGUGCGCAGGCGGUUAGGUAAGACAGAUGUGAAAUUCCCGGGCUCAACCUGGGGAACUGCAUUUGUGACUGCCUGACUAGAGUGCGGCAGAGGGGAGUGGAAUUCCGCGUGUAGCAGUGAAAUGCGUAGAUAUGCGGAGGAACACCGAUGGCGAAGGCAACUCCCUGGGCCUGCACUGACGCUCAUGCACGAAAGCGUGGGAGCAAACCGGAUUAAAUCCCUGGUAGUCCCACGCCCUAAACGAUG
rnacentral:rRNA from 1 species